CUAAAGAAAGAAAACACUUGUGAUGGGCAAAAGGAUGCCUCUCUGCACGUGGGACCUGAAGUGGCAGUAUGUCACAUACCAGUCUCCUUCAUGCCCCCUUAGAGCCCAGGCUGAAGAGAAACUCAUA